GGGAUACAAGAACUACACCUUACCUUGCGAAAGAUACCCUUUUUUCGGUUCGGAUAACAUCAACGCAGCAAUGGAGAUAACAAAGGAUGAUGAAGGUGCAGGAAUGGAAACAAAAUGAAAGUGAAAGAGAACGUUCAAAAGCAAAGUGAAACACACCAAAAUGAAACCGUCAAAUGAAAACUCAUAUUCGUUAUCUCAUAAUUCCUAU
rnacentral:lncRNA from 1 species